rnacentral:pre_miRNA from 1 species
GUAGUACUCCCUCCGUUCCGAAUUACUUGUCUUGGAUUUGUCUAGAUACGGAUGUAUCUAGACUCAUUUUAGUGCUAGAUACCUCCGUAUCUAGACAAAUCUAAGACAAGUAAUUCGGAACGGAGGGAGUACUCA